rnacentral:rRNA from 1 species
AUUGAACGCUGGCGGCAGGCCUAACACAUGCAAGUCGAGCGGAUGAAGGGAGCUUGCUCCUGGAUUCAGCGGCGGACGGGUGAGUAAUGCCUAGGAAUCUGCCUGGUAGUGGGGGAUAACGUCCGGAAACGGGCGCUAAUACCGCAUACGUCCUGAGGGAGAAAGUGGGGGAUCUUCGGACCUCAUGCUAUCAGAUGACCCUAGGUCGGAUUAGCUAGUUGGUGGGGUAAAGGCCUACCAAGGCGACGAUCCGUAACUGGUCUGAGAGGAUGAUCAGUCACACUGGAACUAAGACACGAUCCAGACUCCUACGGGAGGCAGCAGUGGGGAAUAUUGGACAGUGGGCGAAAGACUGGACCAGCCAUGCCGCGUGUGUGAAGAAGGUCUUCGGAUUGUAAAGCACUUUACGUUGGGAGGAAGGGCAGUAAGUUAAUACCUUGCUGUUUUGACGUUACCAACAGAAUAAGCACCGGCUAAGUUCGU